UGAGUAACUGCGCUCCUGAGCUGUUGUACCGGUUUUCCAUGGUUUGCUUUAAUCGGCAGGCUGUGGUGGCUGGUGUGUUUACCUUGAAUAAAUCAAAAUGCUCAAGAUAGGCGUCUCGCCUGAAUGACAGUGCAUGGAAUAAUGGAAUAAGACUUCGGUUUAUUCUGUUGGUCUUGGAACCGAUGUAAUGGUUAAGAGGGACUGACGGGGGCAUUUGUAUCGAUGCGUGAGAGGUGAAAUUCUUGGACCGCAUCGAGACAAACUACUGCGAAAGCAUUUGCCAAGAAUGUCUUCAUUAAUCAAGAACGAAAGUCAGAGGAUCGAAGGCGAUUAGAUACCGCCCUAGUUCUGACCGUAAACGAUGCCAACUAGCGAUCAGGCGGUGGCUAUUAAACCCUGCCUGGGGAGCUUCCCGGAAACGAAAGUCUUCGGGUUCCGGGGGUAGUAUGGUUGCAAAGCUGAAACUUAAAGGAAUUGACGGAAGGGCACCACCAGGAGUGGAGCCUGCGGCUUAAUUUGACUCAACACGGGAAAACUCACCCGGCCCGGACACUGUAAUGAUUGACAGAUUGAGAGUUCUUUCUUGAUUCGGUGGUUGGUGGUGCAUGGCCGUUCUUAGUUGGUGGAGUGAUUUGUCUGGUUUAUUCCGAUAACGAACGAGACUCUAACCUGCUAAAUAGUUCUGCAGUAGCUUCGCUGCAGCAACUUCUUAGAGGGAUCAGUGG
rnacentral:rRNA from 1 species